CGGCUUAUUCUUGGUCUUCGAUUGAAGGUACUAGUAUCUUGAUACUACCUGUACCCUCUUGAUACUGCAGAUUGGCUC
rnacentral:pre_miRNA from 1 species